GACGAACGCUGGCGGCGUGCUUAACACAUGCAAGUCGAACGGAAAGGCCCCCUUGUGAGGUACUCGAGUGGCGAACGGGUGAGUAACACGUGAGUAACCUACCCUUGACUUUGGGAUAACUUCAGGAAACUGGGGCUAAUACCGGAUAGGAGCUCCUGCUGCAUGGUGGGGGUUGGAAAGUUUCGGCGGUUGGGGAUGGACUCGCGGCUUAUCAGCUUGUUGGUGGGGUAGUGGCUCACCAAGGCUUUGACGGGUAGCCGGCCUGAGAGGGUGACCGGCCACAUUGGGACUGAGAUACGGCCCAGACUCCUACGGGAGGCAGCAGUGGGGAAUAUUGCACAAUGGGCGGAAGCCUGAUGCAGCAACGCCGCGUGCGGGAUGACGGCCUUCGGGUUGUAAACCGCUUUCGCCUGUGACGAAGCGUGAGUGACGGUAAUGGGUAAAGAAGCACCGGCUAACUACGUG
rnacentral:rRNA from 1 species